GACAGGUUUGAGUAGGAGGUUAAAGUGCAAUUCUAGCAUUUUGAUGCUAGGCAGAGGCAGAUUCUAGAUUUGCUACAUAGGCAGUUGGCCUAGGGAGACAGGAUAGAGGCAGCCUUACAGCAGAACAUGAUGGACAAUUUUGACUUUGCUGAUUUUGGCAAAUAUUUUCCACCUCCAGCAGCCAAUGAUGCACCUCCUCC
rnacentral:lncRNA from 1 species